GGCUGCAACUCGCCUACAUGAAGUCGGAAUUGCUAGUAAUCGCGGAUCAGCAUGCCGCGGUGAAUACGUUCCCGGGCCUUGUACACACCGCCCGUCACACCAUGGGAGUCGGUAACACCCGAAGCCUGUAGUCUAACCGCAAGGGGGGAGCUGCCGAAGGUGGGAUAAGCGACUGGGGUGAAGUCGUAACAAGGUAAC
rnacentral:rRNA from 1 species